GAUGAACGCUGGCGGCGUGCCUAAUACAUGCAAGUCGAGCGAACGGACGAGAAGCUUGCUUUUCUGAUGUUAGCGGUGGACGGGUGAGUAACACGUGGAUAACCUACCUAUAAGACUGGGAUAACUUCGGGAAACCGGAGCUAAUACCGGAUAAUAUUUUGAACCGCAUGGUUCAAAAGUGAAAGACGGUCUUGCUGUCACUUAUAGAUGGGUCCGCGCUGCAUUAGCUAGUUGGUAAGGUAACGGCUUACCAAGGCAACGAUGCAUAGCCGACCUGAGAGGGUGAUCGGCCACACUGGAACUGAGACACGGUCCAGACUCCUACGGGAGGCAGCAGUAGGGAAUCUUCCGCAAUGGGCGAAAGCCUGACGGAGCAACGCCGCGUGAGUGAUGAAGGUCUUCGGAUCGUAAAACUCUGUUAUUAGGGAAGAACAUAUGUGUAAGUAACUGUGCACAUCUUGACGGUACCUAAUCAGAAAGCCACGGCUAACUACGUG
rnacentral:rRNA from 1 species